rnacentral:rRNA from 4 species
UCAAAUUUGAAAUCUGGCUUCGGCCCGAGUUGUAAUUUGUAGAGGAUGCUUUUGGUGCGGUGCCUUCUGAGUUCCCUGGAACGGGACGCCUUAGAGGGUGAGAGCCCCGUAAAGUUGGACACCAAGCCUAUGUAAAGCUCCUUCGACGAGUCGAGUAGUUUGGGAAUGCUGCUCAAAAUGGGAGGUAAAUUUCUUCUAAAGCUAAAUACCGGCCAGAGACCGAUAGCGCACAAGUAGAGUGAUCGAAAGAUGAAAAGCACUUUGAAAAGAGGGUUAAACAGUACGUGAAAUUGUUGAAAGGGAAGCGCUCAUGACCAGACUUGUGCCCUGCGGAUCAUCCAGCCUUCUGGCUGGUGCACUUCGCUUGGUUCAGGCCAGCAUCGGUUCUCCGAGGGGGAUAAAAGCUUCAGGAACGUAGCUCCUUCGGGAGCAUUAUAGCCUGUUGCAUAAUACC